rnacentral:rRNA from 1 species
UACGUAGGGUGCGAGCGUUAAUCGGAAUUACUGGGCGUAAAGGGUGCGCAGGCGGUUAUAUAAGACAGAUGUGAAAUCCCCGGGCUCAACCUGGGAACUGCGUUUGUGACUGUAUGACUAGAGUACGGUAGAGAGGGGUGGAAUUCCUGGUGUAGCAGUGAAAUGCGUAGAUAUCAGGAGGAACAUCGAUGGCGAAGGCA